AGGUACUCUAUCUUAGUUAUUAAGGUAGGUUAUUCAUUAUUAUUAUUCAUAAAUUCAAAUAUUAUUUUGAUUAUUGAGAUUCGAGAUUUCUAAGUUUUGUUCUUAGUAAAAGUUCUCUAAGUUUGUCUUCAAUCUCUCUUUGUCCUACAUCAACAAGUUUUACUUAAUUUUCAUUUCCAAUAUACAUUAACCUUUAAAUAUACUGAAGAAAGU
rnacentral:lncRNA from 1 species